rnacentral:rRNA from 1 species
GAUGAACGCUGGCGGCGUGCUUAACACAUGCAAGUCGAACGGACUUUUAAUGAAGCCUAGCGAUUUAAAGUUAGUGGCGGACGGGUGAGUAACGCGUGGGUAACCUGCCUUAUACAGGGGGAUAACACUUAGAAAUAGGUGCUAAUACCGCAUAAGCGCACAGUAUCGCAUGAUACAGUGUGAAAAACUCCGGUGGUAUAAGAUGGACCCGCGUCUGAUUAGCUAGUUGGUGAGGUAACGGCUCACCAAGGCGACGAUCAGUAGCCGGCCUGAGAGGGUGAACGGCCACAUUGGGACUGAGACACGGCCCAAACUCCUACGGGAGGCAGCAGUGGGGAAUAUUGCACAAUGGGGGAAACCCUGAUGCAGCGACGCCGCGUGAGUGAAGAAGUAUUUCGGUAUGUAAAGCUCUAUCAGCAAGGAAGAAAAUGACGGUACUUGACUAAGAAGCCCCGGCUAACUACGUG